rnacentral:lncRNA from 12 species
CUGCCCCUUUCACCAUAACUCUCCUUUUCUUGCCUCUUGUAGCUAAGGAGGAACGGAUGGACUUUUCCUUCCAUGCAAUGGGGCACAUCCCAAAGGUCACUGGGAGUCUCUGCCACAUCUCUGCUGUAGCACUCGAAAAUCAAAGCAUGCUCCCAUGAGGAUGCGGGUGAGAGUGAAUAAAGCUG